ACUCCUACGGGAGGCAGCAGUGGGGAAUAUUGAACAAUGGGCGCAAGCCUGAUCCAGCCAUGCCGCGUGAGUGAUGAAGGCCCUAGGGUUGUAAAGCUCUUUCACCGGUGAAGAUAAUGACGGUAACCGGAGAAGAAGCCCCGGCUAACUUCGUGCCAGCAGCCGCGGUAAUACGAAGGGGGCUAGCGUUGUUCGGAUUUACUGGGCGUAAAGCGCACGUAGGCGGACUAUUAAGUCAGGGGUGAAAUCCCGGGGCUCAACCCCGGAACUGCCUUUGAUACUGGUAGUCUUGAGUUCGAGAGAGGUGAGUGGAAUUCCGAGUGUAGAGGUGAAAUUCGUAGAUAUUCGGAGGAACACCAGUGGCGAAGGCGGCUCACUGGCUCGAUACUGACGCUGAGGUGCGAAAGCGUGGGGAGCAAACAGGAUUAGAUACCCCUGUAGUCC
rnacentral:rRNA from 1 species